GAUGAACGCUGGCGGCGUGCCUAAUACAUGCAAGUCGAGCGAACAGAUGAGGAGCUUGCUCCUCUGACGUUAGCGGCGGACGGGUGAGUAACACGUGGAUAACCUACCUAUAAGACUGGGAUAACUUCGGGAAGCCGGAGCUAAUACCGGAUAAUAUAUUGAACCGCAUGGUUCAAUAGUGAAAGACGGUUUUGCUGUCACUUAUAGAUGGAUCCGCGCCGCAUUAGCUAGUUGGUAAGGUAACGGCUUACCAAGGCAACGAUGCGUAGCCGACCUGAGAGGGUGAUCGGCCACACUGGAACUGAGACACGGUCCAGACUCCUACGGGAGGCAGCAGUAGGGAAUCUUCCGCAAUGGGCGAAAGCCUGACGGAGCAACGCCGCGUGAGUGAUGAAGGUCUUCAGAUCGUAAAACUCUGUUAUUAGGGAAGAACAAAUGUGUAAGUAACUAUGCACGUCUUGACGGUACCUAAUCAGAAAGCCACGGCUAACUACGUG
rnacentral:rRNA from 1 species